UGGGGGAUAUUGCACAAUGGGCGAAAGCCUGAUGCAGCGACGCCGCGUGGGGGAUGAAGGCCUUCGGGUUGUAAACUUCUUUUGCUCUGAACAAGGCAUGCUAAUGGGUGUGUUGAGUGUAGGGGUUGAUUAGCGCCGGCUAACUACGUGCCAGCAGCCGCGGUAAUACGUAGGGCGCGAGCGUUGUCCGGAAUUAUUGGGCGUAAAUGGCUUGUAGGUGGCUGGUUGCGUCUGUCGUGAAAGCUCAUGGCUUAACUGUGGGUUUGCGGUGGGUACGGGCUGGCUUGAGUGCAGUAGGGGAGGCUGGAAUUCCUGGUGUAGCGGUGGAAUGCGCAGAUAUCAGGAGGAAUACCGGUGGCGAAGGCGGGUCUCUGGGCUGUUACUGACACUGAGGAGCGAAAGCAUGGGGAGCGAACAGG
rnacentral:rRNA from 1 species